UGGAGGCAGCAGUGGGGAAUCUUGCGCAAUGGACGAAAGUCUGACGCAGCCACGCCGCGUGAGUGAAGAAGGCCUUCGGGUUGUAAAGCUCUGUCGCUCGGGACGAAAAGUCUGAAGUUUAAGAGAUAUCAGAUCUGACGGUACCGAGAGAGGAAGCACCGGCUAACUCCGUGCCAGCAGCCGCGGUAAUACGGAGGGUGCAAGCGUUGCUCGGAAUUAUUGGGCGUAAAGGGUAGGUAGGUGGUCUCAUUUGUCUAUGGUGAAAGCCUUGGGCUUAACCUGAGAAGUGCCGUAGAAACGGUGAGACUGGAGUCCUGGAGAGGAUCGUGGAAUUCCCGGUGUAGCGGUGAAAUGCGUAGAGAUCGGGAGGAACACCAGAGGCGAAGGCGGCGAUCUGGACAGGAACUGACACUCAACUACGAAAGCGUGGGGAGCAAACAGGAUUAGAUACCCUUGUAGUCC
rnacentral:rRNA from 1 species